rnacentral:rRNA from 1 species
CUGAUCAGCAUGCCGCGUGAGUGAUGAAGGCCUUAGGGUUGUAAAGCUCUUUCACCGGGGAAGAUAAUGACGGUACCCGGACAAGAAGCCCCGGAUAACUUCUUGACAUCAGCCGCGGUAAUACUAAGGGGGCUAGGGUUGUUCGGAAUUACUGGGCGUAACGCGCACCUAAGCUGCUAUUUAUGUCACGUGUGAAAUCCCAUAGCUCAACUCUGGAACUGCCUUUGAUACUGGACACCUAGACUAUGGAAGAGGUUGGUGGAAUUCCGAGUGUAGAGGUGAAAUUCAUAUAUCUUCGGAGGAACACCAUUGGCGAAGGCGGCUUACUGCUCCAUUACUGACGCUGAGGUGCUAAACCGUGGCGAGCACACAGGAUUAGAUACCCUGGUAGUCCACGCCAUAAACUAUGAAGGUUAGCCGUCGGCAUGCAUGCAUGUCCGUGGCGCAGCUAACGCAUUAAACAUUCCGCCUGGGGAGUACGGUCUCAAGAUUAAAACUCAAAAGAAUUGACGAGGAGAUUAGAUC